AGAGUUUGAUCCUGGCUCAGAGUGAACGCUGGCGGUAGGCCUAACACAUGCAAGUCGAACGGCAGCACAGUAAGAGCUUGCUCUUAUGGGUGGCGAGUGGCGGACGGGUGAGGAAUGCAUCGGAAUCUACUCUUUCGUGGGGGAUAACGUAGGGAAACUUACGCUAAUACCGCAUACGACCUACGGGUGAAAGCCGGGGACCUUCGGGCCUGGCGCGAAUGAAUGAGCCGAUGCCCGAUUAGCUAGUUGGCGGGGUAAGAGCCCACCAAGGCGACGAUCGGUAGCUGGUCUGAGAGGAUGAUCAGCCACACUGGAACUGAGACACGGCCCAGACUCCUACGGGAGGCAGCAGUGGGGAAUAUUGGACAAUGGGCGCAAGCCUGAUCCAGCCAUACCGCGUGGGUGAAGAAGGCCUUCGGGUUGUAAAGCCCUUUUGUUGGGAAAGAAAAGCAGCCGGUUAAUACCCGGUUGUUCUGACGGUACCCAAAGAAUAAGCACCGGCUAACUUCGUGCCAGCAGCCGCGGUAAUACGAAGGGUGCAAGCGUUACUCGGAAUUACUGGGCGUAAAGCGUGCGUAGGUGGUUGUUUAAGUCUGUCGUGAAAGCCCUGGGCUCAACCUGGGAAUUGCGAUGGAAACUGGGCGACUAGAGUGUGGCAGAGGAUAGUGGAAUUCCUGGUGUAGCAGUGAAAUGCGUAGAGAUCAGGAGGAACAUCCGUGGCGAAAGGGCGACUGUCUGGGCCCAACACUGACACUGAGGCACGAAAGCGUGGGGGAGCAAACAGGAUUAGAUACCCUGGU
rnacentral:rRNA from 1 species